rnacentral:sRNA from 1 species
UUUUUUGUAGGAACGAUCUUUUAUUGGGGGAGGGUUCAUCAACCCUUCCUCAAGGCGGCCAGCACAUUGCUCAGCUCCUCCCACUUUCUCUUGGCGCAGAUGCGCAUGCCCACACUCUUCCUGAUGAACCUGAGUGCGCGCUUGUCCUUGGGCACUUUGAGCACAUCUUGGCCCUACCACAUUUAAGGUGCUCAACAGCCUCAUGUGUCCCGUAGUCGCUACCUUAAGAGCUAAGGAUCUGAUACGGGUUCAUAAAGAUCUUUCUGCUGAGAGUGGCAAAUGUGCUUGCGGGGAAUUCACAGACACCUCUCAGCUUGCGGGGAAUUCACAGACACCUCUCAAAUUUUAGCAUGCAUGAGAGUUACCUAGUGCUAUGAUUGCCUCUGACUAUAACUUGACAGGACUAAGGAUCUCCUGAGAGAGAUGCUUCUGGGCUCCUGAGAGGCUGUCUCCAGAGAGGACUAAUUGAGAAGAACACACAUCCUCCUAGUGUGUGGCACAUUCCAACGGCUGGCUCAGCUAUAAAGAGGGCCAAGAAAAGCAGUCAUAUAAGCCUACCGGCCUCUGCUUCUUCCUGAGCUUCUGCGUCCACGGCAGUUGUUCCUGCGGUGGCCUGCUGGCACCAACUCCAGCCUCUUAGGCCUUCUGAGGAGUGGGUACUCUCUGUUGAAGUUUUGUCUUUUACUGUUUAUUGUCAUGCUAAGUGUUGGCCUUCAAGAUCUGGAGUCUGCAAGUAGACUCUGGGACCCAGCAGCCCCCAAGUUAAUUCUGAUUAGUGAAUAAAAAUGCCAGCAGCCAAUAGCUAGGGAGAAGAGACAUAGGCAGGGUUGAGUUUUUCGUGGGCUUGGAGAGGGGAAACCACGAGGAGGGCAAGCAGGAAGGAGCCACCUUGGAAGAGAAAGAACCCGCAAGAGGGAGAAGGAUAGCUGAGCAUAAAAAAAUGCGGCUCACCUGCUUUACGGCUUACCUGCUUUACGGCUGGCUCACCUGCUUUACGGCUCACUUAAGAGCAGCCCAGGCGGAACAUAGAAAUUAGUUAAGUAGUAACUCCGAGUUAUUGGUAGGAAAGUGGAUUUUAACAGCAUGGUAGGAGGGUAGGCAGUCGCUUAGCUACUGUGCUGCCUAAGGCAUAUUAAAAUGCAAAGGCUGUGUGUGUGACUUUCGUCUGGGAGCACAAACCAUUUUAGAUGGGAAGGAACCCAAAUAGUUUUACUGCAGAGAAAUUCCCCAGGCCUUUGGUGCUGAGCUGACUCUGCUUGGCGUGCUCAGCUGCUCUCAGGCUCUCAGCCUUUCAGCAUGCAGACAGCUCCUGCUGGACUACUUAGCAGGAUGUAUGUAAGUCAAUCUAAUCUUACCCCCUCCACACCCCGUUUGUAAUAUACGCUCACCCCGUGGUCCUAUUCUGUUCUAGCGCUAAGCAAUACACAUGAAGAAAACGGAAGUUCCAUGGUUGUGUUCUUCUAGCAAACGCUGAGGGGUGCACAUAAAGGACAGGCAUCUUCGGGUCAAUUCACGGGUCAGAUACUCUUCAUGACUUCUUCACCAUUGCGCAGUGAUGAUGAAUGAUGACGAUGGAAACUGAAUUAGUCUCAGGAGAGGGCCUUUGAAACUGAGCCUGAGGAUAUAAUCUGAAGUAGCCUAGGAUAGACCAUGCAGCCAAGGAUGCCUCCUCUUUCCACCUCCCAAGUGCUGGGUUUACACGUGUGAACCACCACCACCAUGAUGUGCCUCAUAUAGUACCUCCAGGCGCGUGAUUUUUCAGAUGUGCAGCGUAGGGUUGGAAGACCCUGAGGUGAAAAGGGAGACUCAAGAACAGAAGAUGGGGCAGUCAGGGCUGAGUAGAUGCUGUGGGGGGCCAGCGCAGUGUGGAGUCCUCAAAAAAAAAACAAAAAAAAAAAAAAAAAACCAGGAGCAGGAGGGUUCAAGGAAACAGUCGAGUAGAGAGGGGUCCUUGAGUAUCCACCACCUGCCCUGCAUUUAAUCUCUGCUCACAUGAAGCCAGGAGGGUUGCGUCCCUCCGCAGCCCCAGCAGCUGGGAGACAGGCAGGGACUCUGACAGGAUGCUGCCUCAAGAUGAUGGCCAAAGAGAAGAAUUUGCCCAGUAAAUGUAAAGUCUCUGAAAAGAAAUUGAAAAUUAGAUUUUACUGUUCUCCUGAUUUCUCCUAAAUCUGGCUUUUGCUUCACACUGCCCCCCACAGAAACCUACCUCCCACCGACUUUUGUGAAGUGUCAUGUAUUCUUUUUACUAAACUAGAAUUGAGAUUCAAAGAAGCCUUUGAUUUCAAAAUCGAGAAGUUUCAGUUUGGUUUCAUAUUUAGGUUCAGUGGGUUAUAGGAACUCAGAACAAAAUGAAAGCCCUAGAGAGCUCAAGCCUCCAUGUUUAGGACAGACAGGUGUGUCAGCCCUCUUUCCUCUAAAUGAGAGUUACAUAAUCUGACUUACCUGCACAUGGGUGACAUCAACGUGGUGCCCCGACUAUGAUAUAAACAAAAACGGAGGGGAGAAUUUGUCAUCUUAUGUGAGGACUUGGGAGAGUCAGUCCUAAAUUGACGCUGGCGUUGGUAUUUGCAACUCUAGACUGCACAAGAACAAGAUAAGCAAACCAUGCACAGGGAGCCGGUGCCUCAACAGCCAAAAUGGUAUUGCAGAAGGCAACACGUUCCCAUCUGUCCCCCCUGGAACAAAAGUUCACCCCAGCACAGUGCAGUCUUCCUCGACUCCACACAGCAGCACUGGAAGGGCCAGUGUCCGUUAAGCCAGUGUGUGUGUUAAGCGAGGUGGAUUAUGCCCAGUCAGCGAUGCCCACAUGGCGUCGCUGGGAAGAUGGCUAGGCAUCCCUAAGCAAUGUCCUCGGGAACCUAUAAUGGCAUGGCUACCAUGAAUGGAGUGCAACAGGCCGAUUAUCUGAAGCCCUAAAGCGUCUGUUCAGAGCAACCACAGACAAAGGGAGAUGCGUGAGAACACCAACCAAGAUGUGGUUUGAAACACCAAUCCUUAAGCACCCAGAAAGCCCAGCCCAUGGAAUUAAACAUGUAGAGUUGACAAGGAGCUAAAGUCAUACAUGAUCAGGCAUCAAAGAGAAACAGAAUGUGAGAGGAGAGCUCAGACCUGCAGGCACAUACAACAUUUUCACUUAUUAGCAGCUGACGUUUCAUAAUGGGACUUUUGAGAAAAGGUCUCAUGUAUCCCAGGCUAGCCUCACAGUUGCUUUGUAAUCAAGGAUAACUCCGAAGUUUUUAAAUGUUCUAAUUUGGGGAAGCUUCACAUGCCACUAACCUGAAUAGGAAGGGAGAGCCACUCUAAAUUACAUACAUCGAGUAUAUAUAAACUUACAGAUGGAAUGCAACUUUGGAAGUUCAGAAUCAGACACUCAGGGUGUUUUGCCCUGUCAGAUCCUGAAACAGCUCCACACCGUUCUUUGCACACACCCCAACCACUCCAGUGAAACCCUUGCUCUGAGGCAGCCCUCUUCCCUUUCCGAAUGGUUCUGACUGCGAAGUGGGCUGAUCGCUCAGGUGGGAAAACACUUGCCUUGCAAAUGUUUAGACCUGAGGUGGAUCCUUUGAAUAUAAUGUAAAAGUCAGGUGCUGUGGAUUCCAGAACUAGAGAGCCAGACCGUGGGGCUAGGCUCUCUGGCCAAUCAGCCUUGCCUAAUCAGAGUCCUAGGUCCUAUCAAGAACUUGUCUCAAAAAAGAAGGUGGGUGGCUCUUGCAGAAUGACAGCUAAACUUGCCCUCUUGCCUUUGUGCAUGCACGCACAGGCACAUAUGUGAACACACACACACACACACACACACAGAGAGAGAGAGAGAGAGAGAGAGAGAGAGAGAGAGAGAGAGACUAUACUUCAGAAUCUGACAGGUGGCCAAAUAAGACAGGCGACCACAGAUCAAAACCAAACUGCCUGCUGGCUGUGCUUGGGGAAGUUACUUCUCUGGGCCUCUAUUUUCUCCCUUAUAAAUGAUAAAUACAGUUGCAUCUGAGCUCUGGCUUUUGAGACGUCAGAACAGAGAGUAAGUGCUGGGGACCGUGGGACCCCGAUCCUGUACAUUUCUUAUAUUAGUCUCUCCUCAUCUGGUUGGCAUUGUUGCCAGUGCCCUUUUGAAAACUGCACUCUCAGUAUGAACUUGUAUUUCCUGUGUUUCACCCUUACAUUGCAGAAUUCAGGCAGCGACUCAGAACCAACACUGGCUCUGCUUAUUCUAAUGCCUAAAAGUUUAUCUGCAUGGAGAACCUUCGAUCCCAGAUGACAGCAUGGGAAUUAGUUUCUUUUCCUUUGUUUUUGUUUUGUUUUGUUUUGUUUUUUUCAUAAAGCUCAAUUUAUAUUGAGAACUCCUUCUCUACUGAGUAGCAAAGAAUUCAUCGGGAUGAUUUCAGUGUAAGCUUUUCCCCAGAGUUGCUUCAGAAGUCUGGAGCCAUAUUCCACAAAACUCAGAAUAGCAUGUUGUUUUCUGUGAGUAUUCUGCAGUGUUGUGGCUUGAUCAUGCUUGGCCCAUGGGAAGUGGCACUACUAGGAGGUGUGGCCUUAUUGGCAGAGAUGUAGCCUUGUAAGAGGAAUUGUGUCACUGUGAAGGCAAGACUUUGAAAUCGCAUACAUACGCUCUAGUCUGGCCAACAUGAUUCAGACCUUCCUCCUGGCCACCUGCAGAAGACAGUCUCCUCUUGGCUGCCUUCCGAUCAAGAUGUAGAACCCUCGGCUCCUCCAGCACCAUGUCUGCCUGCACAUUACCACGCUUCCCAUCGAGAUGACAAUGGACGGAACCUCUGAUCCUCUAAGCCAGUCCCAGUUAAAUGCUUUCCUUUAUAAGAGUUACCUUGGUCAUGAUGUCCCUCCACGCAAUGGAAGCCUCACUGAGACAUACACGUUGCUCGUCCAGAUGCCCUGCUCCCAUCCAGUCUUCAUUCACAGAUUACUGACAGGCUAGUGCUGCUUUCUUCCAUUCCACCAUGUCAUUCCCAUCAAGGACCAUACAGUGCCCUCUUUACUUAAACCUGAAACUGCCUACUGCUUGCUCUGAGACAUUGAAACCUGGGCUGUGCUUUGGGGCCCUAAGACCACCUGAUGCUGGAAAGUGGUGCAAGAACACUAGAGCAUCCUUGUGGUCAUAUCGCUGAUACACUAGGCUUCCCCAGCAGGCUCCAGGGAGCAGACAGGGGCUCCUGAGGCACCGUAAAGGACAAGUGAAUAGUCUUUGCUUUUCUAUCUCCAAUCUCAUCCAACAUGGGCUUUCUUGGCCGAUGCCCUCUACCCCUGGGAAGUCACAGGUAUGUAUCACCAGUCCCCUCUUAAUCCUCAGUGCUUCAGGCCACAGAAUGCAUUUGUCUGUCCUGAGGAUGAGGGGGACGGAAAGUCUUCAAACUAUGCCUAGGCCCACCUGAAGACUUGACCACGUUUUGUUGUUGUUGUUUGUUUUUUGAGACAGGGUUUCUCUGCGUAGCCCUGGCUGUACUGGACUCACUUUGUUCACCAGGCUGACCUCAAACCCACAGAGAUCCUCCUGCCUCUGUCUCCCGAGUACUGGGAUUAAAGCCCUGCACCACCACCCCGGCUCUUGACACUGCUUCUUCCUAUGAUGCCCUUUCUUCCUCGGGGAGAUCAUUCCCAGCACUUCGAGCUGGUUAUUGAAAGAACAAAUGGAGAAGCAGAGGGGUGGCUCAGAGGCCAAACCGCUUGCUUCUGACUCUGUCAACCGCAGUUCAACCCCCAGGAGCCACAGGGGUGGACAGAUAGAACUCGACCCUGCCAGCUGUCCUCUGCGGUUCAUACGUGACUCUAGGUGUGUGCACCCCACCCCAGGCUAAAUAAAUGGGAUUUAAAGCUAAAGGAGAAAAUUGUAACAAGAAAUAAAAGGAAAAGGUGUCAGAACUAUGAGUUAAU